AACCUACCACAAGCUAAGCAAC
rnacentral:snRNA from 1 species